rnacentral:rRNA from 1 species
GACGAACGCUGGCGGCGUGCUUAACACAUGCAAGUCGAACGGAAAGGCCCUGCUUUUGUGGGGUGCUCGAGUGGCGAACGGGUGAGUAACACGUGAGUAACCUGCCCUUGACUUUGGGAUAACUUCAGGAAACUGGGGCUAAUACCGGAUAGGAGCUCCUGCUGCAUGGUGGGGGUUGGAAAGUUUCGGCGGUUGGGGAUGGACUCGCGGCUUAUCAGCUUGUUGGUGGGGUAGUGGCUUACCAAGGCUUUGACGGGUAGCCGGCCUGAGGGGGUGACCGGCCACAUUGGGACUGAGAUACGGCCCAGACUCCUACGGGAGGCAGCAGUGGGGAAUAUUGCACAACGGGCGGAAGCCUGAUGCAGCAACGCCGCGUGCGGGAUGACGGCCUUCGGGUUGUAAACCGCUUUCGCCUGUGACGAAGCGUGAGUGACGGUAAUGGGUAAAGAAGCACCGGCUAACUACGUGCCAGUAGCCGCGGUGAUACGUAGGGUGCGAGCGUUGUCCGGAUUUAUUGGGCGUAAAGGGCUCGUAGGUGGUUGAUCGCGUCGGAAGUGUAAUCUUGGGGCUUAACCCUGAGCGUGCUUUCGAUACGGGUUGACUUGAGGAAGGUAGGGGAGAAUGGAAUUCCUGGUGGAGCGGUGGAAUGCGCAGAUAUCAGGAGGAACACCAGUGGCGAAGGCGGUUCUCUGGGCCUUUCCUGACGCUGAGGAGCGAAAGCGUGGGGAGCGAACAGGCUUAGAUACCCUGGUAGUCCACGCUGUAAACGGUGGGUACUAGGUGUGGGGUCCAUUCCACGGGUUCCGUGCCGUAGCUAACGCUUUAAGUACCCCGCCUGGGGAGUACGGCCGCAAGGCUAAAACUCAAAGGAAUUGACGGGGCCCCGCACAAGCGGCGGAGCAUGCGGAUUAAUUCGAUGCAACGCGUAGAACCUUACCUGGGUUUGACAUGGAUCGGGAGUGCUCAGAGAUGGGUGUGCCUCUUUUGGGGUCGGUUCACAGGUGGUGCAUGGCUGUCGUCAGCUCGUGUCGUGAGAUGUUGGGUUAAGUCCCGCAACGAGCGCAACCCUUGUUCACUGUUGCCAGCACGUUAUGGUGGGGACUCAGUGGAGACCGCCGGGGUCAACUCGGAGGAAGGUGGGGAUGACGUCAAGUCAUCAUGCCCCUUAUGUCCAGGGCUUCACGCAUGCUACAAUGGCUGGUACAGAGAGUGGCGAGCCUGUGAGGGUGAGCGAAUCUCGGAAAGCCGGUCUCAGUUCGGAUUGGGGUCUGCAACUCGACCUCAUGAAGUCGGAGUCGCUAGUAAUCGCAGAUCAGCAACGCUGCGGUGAAUACGUUCCCGGG